UGGAAUUGGUGCGUUUGGUGGGGUUUUUGAUGGGCAUGGAAGGAAUGGUCAAAUAAUGAGAAACAGGUUGCCAUCAUUGAUUGUCAACCAAAGAAAUUCCACCAUAAUCAAGGGCAAAGCGGUAAUUGAGCAUGAUGAUGAGUUUGACUCCAAGGAUUUCCAUAUUUGGAAAUUGGAAAGAUGCCUGUUUUAGUGCCUUCAAAGUCAUGGACAAGGAGAUCAAGCUUAUGGAACAUAUAGAUUUCUCCUACAGUGGUACAACUGCUGUUAUUGUCAUCAAUAUAACAAACUCUCAUCAAGAUUUUGAGCCAUCCUGGAUGCAUCAUUAGCUUGGUGAAGAUCUGGUCAUUGAUUCAAGAGCAAUUGCUGAAAAUGGACUUGACCUCUGAUCUGAAACCAAGUGUGCCUUAUGAUUCUGAAGAUAAGAGAUACUCGAGAGGUGUCUGAUGAUCACGAAGAUGAGCAAACAACUUUCAUGAGCUCUUACUCUGAUGCUCUAAGUAAGAAACUCGAGAGCUCGAAUGCACAAUACACAUGAAGGGCUUUACCAACGUUCUGUUGAUGUGAUUCUUAUGUCAAUUGUGUGUCUAUAUAUAUAUAUAUAUAUAUGUAUGUAUGUAUGUAUGUAUGUAUAUGUAUGUAAUUACUUGACAUGUUUCGCUCGUAAUUACUCAAUCAUGUGAA